rnacentral:rRNA from 1 species
GGGAAAAGCUCAAAUUUAAAAUCUGGCGGUCUUUCAGGUCGUCCGAAUUGUAAUCUAGAGAAGUAUUAUCCGCGCUGGCCUGUGUACAAGUCUCCUGGAACGGAGCCUCAUAGAGGGUGAGAAUCCCGUCUUUGACACGGAUCACCAGGGCUUUUGUGAUAUGCUCUCAAAGAGUCGAGUUGUUUGGGAAUGCAGCUCAAAACGGGUGGUAAAUUCCAUCUAAAGCUAAAUAUUGGCGAGAGACCGAUAGCGAACAAGUACCGUGAGGGAAAGAUGAAAAGAACUUUGGAAAGAGAGUUAAACAGUACGUGAAAUUGUUGAAAGGGAAACGCUUGAAGUCAGUCGCGUUGACCAGGAAUCAACCUUGCUUUUUUGCUCGGUGUACUUUCUGGUCGACGGGUCAGCAUCAAUUUUGACCGGUGGAUAAAGGUCAGAGGAAUGUGGCAUCUUAGGAUGUGUUAUAGUUUCUGGUCGCAUACAUCGGUUGGGAUUGAGGAACUCAGCACGCCGCAAGGCCGGGUUUUUAAUCACGUUCGUGCUUAGGAUGCUGGCAUAAUGGCUUUAAUCGACCCGUCUUGAAACACGGACCAAGGAGUCUAACAUACCUGCGAGUGUUUGGGUGGAAAACCCGAGCGCGUAAUGAAAGUGAAAAGUUGAGAUCCUUGUUAUGGGGGAGCAUCGACGCCCGGACCUGACCUUUUGUGACGGCUCCGCGGUAGAGCAUGUAUGUUGGGACCCGAAAGAUGGUGAACUAUGCCUGAAUAGGGUGAAGCCAGAGGAAACUCUGGUGGAGGCUCGUAGCGAUUCUGACGU